CCCUUAGAUGUUCUGGGCCGCACGCGCGCUACACUGACGAAUGCAACGAGCUUAUAACCUUGGCCGAAAGGUCUGGGUAAUCUCCAAAUUUCGUCGUGAUGGGGAUAGAUUAUUGCAAUUAUUAAUCUUCAACGAGGAAUGCCUAGUAAGCGCAAGUCAUCAGCUUGCGUUGAUUACGUCCCUGCCCUUUGUACACACCGCCCGUCGCUCCUACCGAUUGAAUGGUCCGGUGAAAUGUUCGGAUCGCGGCAAAUCGGACGGGUAACCGUCAGGUUCGCUGCGAGAAGUUCAUUAAACCUUAUCAUUUAGAGGAAGGAGAAGUCGUANCA
rnacentral:rRNA from 1 species